GAUCAGGGUGUGCCUCUGUACCUCUGAAGUGACCACUCUAACACUGGGAAACUGCCUACCUUUGCACUAUUUCAGAUGGGACUCCAGCCAAAACAGGCUGGCUCUGCUCCAUGGAGCCCAGUUCAGCAGUCACAGGGAUCCCAGAGCAUGAGCUGCAGUGGCCACACUACCUUCACUUUUCAUCAACUGCCCAAGGAAACCCGAGAUGAACAAGCAUGUUCUGUAGAAAUUGUCCUAGGGAGGGAAGGGAGAAGACCAGAGAGAGGUACUGAGUGAUGCUGUGCAUCGAGCCUGAAGAGAUCAGCUCUGGGGAAACCUGACAUUCCAGCUGAUCCAUCAAAUCAUAUAUGUUUGUUACAAGAUAAAGGAAACAUCCUUGCAUCAGAUAUGGAGGAAAAUCACUUCUAUGAGUGUGGUUCUUCGAAGAGAACAAGCAGAUAAGGAAGCAAAAUGACAGCUUCCUGUGAGAAACCAGGUUUUCCCACCUGAGCCUAGUGAUGGCUGUGUGGAGUGGAUUUACCACUCCCUACAUCGACCAGGGCUGUGUAAUCAGGCUUUGCACAACACAAGUGGCCAGAAGGUGUGAUGCAGGUUGAAGCAGAGAUUAUGAGUGCUGGCAGGAUGGCAGCAAGCUGAAGGCAAAUUACCUUCAUCUGCAUUCAUGAAGCCCCAUGGAUCUGGGCUACAAUAGACACUCGCUUUGCAUCCCUUUCCCUCUGAAUCCUUCAGCUCCUGCAGUGGGGUUCAGCCCUGAAGAAGAACUGCUGCACCAGGCCAGGGAGACAGUGAAAACCAGGCUCCAGGGCCUCCCCAGAGACCUCCGCUCCCCACAGCCCUUGCCCAGGAAGUGCCUGGCUGGCUUUUUGCAAACGUCUGCCUUCUAAAUAUGACUUCACCAUUCACUCUUUCCACUUUGAAACCUCAUUAAGAAGCAGAGGGCCAGGAGGGAGCUGCAGCCACUUGCUACAACUGCCAGCAGCUGUGGUAAGCCAUCGGGCCUGAAGCAAGCACCAGAACAUCUGCUCCUGCCUUGCAGCAGCAGCCACAAAAGUCAGUGCAAGAGGCUAAAACAAACUUGAGGGCUUCAGUAGCAAAGGCUCAGAUGCUUAGAGACUCCACUGCCUCAUAGCCAGAAAGAAGGAGGGGGCAUCUUCUUUACUGUCAGAGUGAUGGAGCACUGGAACAGGCUUCCCAAAGAGCAGCCUUCUUCUAUGGAGAUAUUCAAGACCCAUCUGGAUGCCUACCUUUGCAGCCCGCUAUAGGGAGCCUGCUUUAGCAGGGGAGUUGGACUCCAUGAUCUGAAGAGGUCCCUUCCAGCCCCUACAGUUCUGUGAUUCUGUGAUCUACACCUUAGGUCCUUUCUGUGCAAGCAGGGCAUGGCCAAAGUGGCUGAGAAAUACAAACAACCCUUUCCUAGCUCCAGCAUCCAAAGGCAAUAUGAUGGCAACAGAGAUGGAUCUUGAAGGUAUGGGAAGAAAUUUCUCCUAAACUGUGCCAGCAAUUUUCCUGCAAGAAGUAAACUUAAUUUGUCCCAUGCAUUAGCAGCCAUAGCUGAGGGAGCUUCCCUCGUGUCUUGGCUCCUUUAUAGCUGAACAUUCAGCAAACUCGCCUGUAGCUACUCAACACAUUCCCAUGUCUGGGUAGCAAGGUGUGUUUUAAAGUGGGGUUAAGAAAGGUAAUGCAUCUGAGGUCAAGAAAAUUAACAGUGAAAUUUCAUUUAGCUUGACAGAUUAUUAACUACGCCGCACUGCAAGAUUUCCAGUUUAGCUGGCCUGGCACAGCUCCGAAGGUAACAGGGCAGUUUUGCACCUUUCAGAAAUGCUGUGGGUUGACUUCCCAGCAGAAAUACUUGAACUCUGUCCAAGUAAGUGAUCGAAUCCUGACUCUUGCCUUUCGCCCUCAGCAAAGGAGGACAAGCAAGCCUGCUUGGAAGGGAGCUUGCAUUUCUUUCUGCCUUGCUCUCUGAAGGCAUGUCAGCUCAGCUGUGUCUUAUCGCUCCAAUCUUUGUGGGCCCGCAUCUCUGGUGUUAACAGAGUUCAGGACCACACAGGAUCAGAUGUUACGUUAGAAGGAUAGCAUGAUACAAAGAGCAAGGCUGAGGCUAACCCUGAG
ensembl:lncRNA